GUCCAGACUCCUACGGGAGGCAGCAGUGGGGGAUAUUGCACAAUGGGGGGAACCCUGAUGCAGCGACGCCGCGUGGGUGAAGGAGCGUUUCGGCGCGUAAAGCCCUAUCGGCAGGGAAGAAGGAGGACGGUACCUGACUAAGAAGCCCCGGCUAACUACGUGCCAGCCGCCGCGGUAAUACGUAGGGGGCAAGCGUUAUCCGGAUUUACUGGGUGUAAAGGGGGCGCAGGCGGCAGCGCAAGGCAGGGGUGAAAGCCCGGGGCCCAACCCCGGGACUGCUCUUGGAACUGCGCGGCUGGAGUGCAGGAGGGGCAGGCGGAAUUCCUGGUGUAGCGGUGAAAUGCGUAGAUAUCAGGAGGAACACCGGUGGCGAAGGCGGCCUGCUGGACUGCGA
rnacentral:rRNA from 1 species